AAGACUAUACUUUCAGGGAUCAUUUCUAUAGUCUGUUACUAGAGAAGUUUCUCUGAUUGUGUAGAGCACCCGAAACCACGAGGAGGAGGUGUAGCAUUCUCUCCUGAGCGUGAAGCGGGCUCUUGGUGUUGUUUCUACAACUGCCAUCAGCCAUUGAUGAUCGCUCUUCUCUUCCUAAUGGAAGAGUAAGAGGGAGGGGAUGCAAUCUGAGUGGU